UACGUAGGGCGCAAGCGUUGUCCGGAAUUAUUGGGCGUAAAGAGCUCGUAGGCGGCACUGUUAGUCAGGCGUGAAAGUCCUGGGCUCAACCUGGGAACUGCGCUUGAUACGGCAGAGCUAGAGGAUGGAAGAGGCUCGCGGAAUUCCCAGUGUAGAGGUGAAAUUCGUAGAUAUUGGGAAGAACACCGGUGGCGAAGGCGGCGAGCUGGUCCAUUACUGACGCUGAGGCGCGACAGCGUGGGGAGCAAACAGG
rnacentral:rRNA from 1 species